rnacentral:tRNA from 1 species
AAGGUCCUAGCUUAAUUAAAGUAUCUGAGUUGCAUUCAGAAGAUGUAGGGUAGUAACCUACGGACUUUA